UAGGGAAUCUUCCACAAUGGACGCAAGUCUGAUGGAGCAACGCCGCGUGAGUGAAGAAGGUUUUCGGACCGUAAAGCUCUGUUGUUGGUGAAGAAGGAUAGAGGUAGUAACUGGCCUUUAUUUGACGGUAAUCAACCAGAAAGUCACGGCUAACUACGUGCCAGCAGCCGCGGUAAUACGUAGGUGGCAAGCGUUGUCCGGAUUUAUUGGGCGUAAAGCGAGCGCAGGCGGAAGAAUAAGUCUGAUGUGAAAGCCCUCGGCUUAACCGAGGAAUUGCAUCGGAAACUGUUUUCUUGAGUGCAGAAGAGGAGAGUAGAACUCCAUGUGUAGCGGUGGAAUGCGUAGAUAUAUGGAAGAAUACCAGUGGCGAAGGCGGCUCUCUGGUCUACAACUGACGCUGAGGCUCGAAAGCAUGGGUAGCGAACAGGAUUAGAUACCCUGGUAGUCCAUGCCGUAAACGAUGAGUGCUAAGUGUUGGGAGGCUUCCGCCUCUCAGUGCUGCAGCUAACGCAUUAAGCACUCCGCCUGGGGGAGUACGACCGCAAGGUUGAAAC
rnacentral:rRNA from 1 species